AUUGAACGCUGGCGGCAGGCCUAACACAUGCAAGUCGAACGAGUGGCGGACGGGUGAGUAAUGUCUGGGAAACUUCCUGCUGGAGGGGGCUAACUACUGGAAACGGUAGCUAAUACCGCAUACCAUUUGAUCUGCCCUGAUGGGAUUAGCUAGUGGGUGGGGUAAAGGCUCACCUAGGCGACGAUCCCUAGCUGGUCUGAGAGGAUGACCAGCCACACUGGAACGGAGACACGGUCCAGACUCCUACGGGAGGCAGCAGGGGGGAAUAUUGCACAAUGGGAGCAAGCCUGAUGCAGCCAUGCCGCGUGUAUGAAGAAGGCCUUCGGGUUGUAAAGUACUUUCAGCGGGGAGGCGUUACCCGCAGAAGAAGCACCGGCUAACUCCGUGCCAGCAGCCGCGGUAAUUC
rnacentral:rRNA from 1 species